CAGUACUCCAACGAUCUGAGCAACACAUCUGGGAACAUGCUAAACAGUCUGGUAGGGAAAAAGAACAACUUGC